GAUGAACGCUGGCGGCGUGCUUAACACAUGCAAGUCGAACGAUGAAGCCCAGCUUGCUGGGUGGGUUAGUGGCGAACGGGUGAGUAACACGUGAGUAACCUGCCCUUAACUCUGGGAUAUGCCUGGGAAACUGUGUCUAAUACCGGAUAGGAGCGUCCACCGCAUGGUGGGUGGUGGAAAGAUUUAUCGGUUUUGGAUGGACUCGCGGCCUAUCAGCUUGUUGGUGAGGUAAUGGCUCACCAAGGCGCCGACGGGUAGCCGGCCUGAGAGGGUGACCGGCCACACUGGGACUGAGACACGGCCCAGACUCCUACGGGAGGCAGCAGUGGGGAAUAUUGCACAAUGGGCGCAAGCCUGAUGCAGCGACGCCGCGUGAGGGAUGACGGCCUUCGGGUUGUAAACCGCUUUCAGUAGGGAAGAAGCGAAAGUGACGGUACCUGCAGAAGAAGCACCGGCUAACUACGUG
rnacentral:rRNA from 1 species